UGGGGAAUCUUGCACAAUGGAGGAAACUCUGAUGCAGCGACGCCGCGUGAGCGAUGAAGCCCUUCGGGGUGUAAAGCUCUUUCGACGGGAACGAUAAUGACGGUACCCGAAGAAGAAGCUGCGGCUAACUACGUGCCAGCAGCCGCGGUAAUACGUAGGCAGCGAGCGUUGUUCGGAAUUACUGGGCGUAAAGAGUGUGUAGGUGGUGCUCUAAGUUUGGUGUGAAAUCUCCCGGCUUAACUGGGAGGGUGCGCCGAAAACUGGAGUGCUUGAGUAUGGGAGAGGUAAGCGGAAUUCCUGGUGUAGCGGUGAAAUGCGUAGAUAUCAGGAGGAACACCUGUGGUGUAGACAGCUUACUGGACCAUUACUGACACUGAGACACGAAAGCGUGGGUAGCAAACAGGAUUAGAUACCCCCGUAGUCC
rnacentral:rRNA from 1 species